rnacentral:tRNA from 1 species
GGGUUCGUAGUCUAGCCAGGAAUUCUGAAAAAACUUUUCAGUUUCGGUAAAUAGGGCUCUGGCCUUCGGAGCCAGCUAUCGUAGGUUCGAAUCCUACCGGACCCGCCA